UACGAAGGGGGCUAGCGUUGCUCGGAAUCACUGGGCGUAAAGCGCACGUAGGCGGAUUGUUAAGUCAGGGGUGAAAUCCUGGAGCUCAACUCCAGAACUGCCUUUGAUACUGGCGAUCUUGAGUCCGGGAGAGGUGAGUGGAACUCCGAGUGUAGAGGUGAAAUUCGUAGAUAUUGGGAAGAACACCGGUGGCGAAGGCGGCUCACUGGCUCGUAACUGACGCUCAUGCACGACAGCGUGGGGAUCAAACAGG
rnacentral:rRNA from 1 species